AUUUAAAUAAUUUAAUUAAAAAAUUUUGAUUUGUGGGGUCAAAUAUACUGUAAAGUUUUAAAUU
rnacentral:tRNA from 1 species